UACGAGGGGGGCGAGCGUUGUUCGGAAUUAUUGGGCGUAAAGGGUGCGUAGGCGGUUUGGUAAGUCUUAUGUGAAAUCUACAGGCUCAACUUGUAGUCUGCAUGAGAAACUGCCGGGCUUGAGUAUGGGAGAGGUGAGUGGAAUUCCUGGUGUAGCGGUGAAAUGCGUAGAUAUCAGGAGGAACACCUGUGGCGAAGGCGGCUCACUGGACCAUAACUGACGCUGAUGCACGAAAGCUAGGGGAGCAAACAGG
rnacentral:rRNA from 1 species